UACGUGCGGUGCGAACGUUGUUCGGUGUCACUGGGCUUAAAGGGCGCGUAGGUGGUUGUGCAAGUGACGGGUGAAAUCCCUCGGCUUAACCGAGGAACUGCCUGUCAGACUGCAUUGCUUGAGUCCGGGAGAGGUGAGUGGAAUUCCCAGUGUAGCGGUGAAAUGCGUAGAUAUUGGGAGGAACACCAGUGGCGAAGGCGGCUCACUGGACCGGAACUGACGCUGAGGCGCGAAAGCGUGGGGAGCAAACAGG
rnacentral:rRNA from 1 species